rnacentral:rRNA from 1 species
AAGCUUGUCUGUGCUCAGACUAUACUGAUCUCAUCUGAUUUCAGAAAUAAGGACUGGGCCUGGUUAGUACUUAGAUGGAAGGCUACCAGAAAAUACCAGAGAUCUGAUUG